rnacentral:rRNA from 1 species
GAUGAACGCUAGCGACAGGCUUAACACAUGCAAGUCGAGGGGCAGCAUGAUUUGUAGCAAUACAGAUUGAUGGCGACCGGCGCACGGGUGAGUAACGCGUAUGCAACUUACCUAUCAGAGGGGGAUAGCCCGGCGAAAGUCGGAUUAAUACCCCAUAAAACAGGGGUCCCGCAUGGGAAUAUUUGUUAAAGAUUCAUCGCUGAUAGAUAGGCAUGCGUUCCAUUAGGCAGUUGGCGGGGUAACGGCCCACCAAGGCAACGAUCGGUAGCCGGACUGAGAGGUUGAACGGCCACAUUGGGACUGAGACACGGCCCAG